rnacentral:rRNA from 1 species
AGAGUUUGAUCCUGGCUCAGGACGAACGCUGGCGGCGUGCCUAACACAUGCAAGUCGAACGGAACUUCUUUAAAGGAUUUCUUCGGAAUGAAUUUGAUUAAGUUUAGUGGCGGACGGGUGAGUAACGCGUGAGUAACCUGCCUCUAAGAGGGGAAUAACAUUCUGAAAAGAAUGCUAAUACCGCAUAAUAUAUAUUUAUCGCAUGGUAGAUAUAUCAAAGAUUUAUCGCUUAGAGAUGGACUCGCGUCCGAUUAGUUAGUUGGUGAGGUAACGGCUCACCAAGACCGCGAUCGGUAGCCGGACUGAGAGGUUGAACGGCCACAUUGGGACUGAGACACGGCCCAGACUCCUACGGGAGGCAGCAGUGGGGGAUAUUGCGCAAUGGGGGAAACCCUGACGCAGCAACGCCGCGUGAAGGAUGAAGGUCUUCGGAUUGUAAACUUCUUUUAUUAAGGACGAAGAAAGUGACGGUACUUAAUGAAUAAGCUCCGGCUAACUACGUGCCAGCAGCCGCGGUAAUACGUAGGGAGCAAGCGUUGUCCGGAUUUACUGGGUGUAAAGGGUGCGUAGGCGGCUUUGCAAGUCAGAUGUGAAAUCUAUGGGCUCAACCCAUAGCCUGCAUUUGAAACUGCAGAGCUUGAGUGAAGUAGAGGCAGGCGGAAUUCCCCGUGUAGCGGUGAAAUGCGUAGAGAUGGGGAGGAACACCAGUGGCGAAGGCGGCCUGCUGGGCUUUAACUGACGCUGAGGCACGAAAGCGUGGGUAGCAAACAGGAUUAGAUACCCUGGUAGUCCACGCUGUAAACGAUGAUUACUAGGUGUGGGGGGACUGACCCCUUCCGUGCCGCAGUUAACACAAUAAGUAAUCCACCUGGGGAGUACGACCGCAAGGUUGA